ACGUCAUAUAUCAUAACAAAACAAAACUUUCAACAACGGAUCUCUUGGCUCUCGCAUCGAUGAAGAACGCAGCGAAAUGCGAUAAGUAAUGUGAAUUGCAGAAUUCAGUGAAUCAUCGAAUCUUUGAACGCACCUUGCGCCCUCUGGUAUUCCGGAGGGCAUGCCUGUUUGAGUGUCAUGUAGACUCAAUCCCUCGGGUUUCCGAGGAGAUUGGACUUGGGUGUUGCCGCUCUGCCGGCUCGCCUUAAAAGACUUAGCGGGAUAGCACCGUAGUCGGCGUAAUAAGUUUCGUCGGUGAAGGUUGUGAUGACUGCUUACAAUCGCCCUCGGGCAAUUUUUGACUCUGACCUCAAAUCAGGUAGGACUACCCGCUGAACUUAAGCAUAUCAAUAAGCGGAGGA
rnacentral:rRNA from 1 species